rnacentral:rRNA from 1 species
AUUGAACGCUGGCGGCAGGCCUAACACAUGCAAGUCGAGCGGAUGAAGGGAGCUUGCUCCCGGAUUCAGCGGCGGACGGGUGAGUAAUGCCUAGGAAUCUGCCUGGUAGUGGGGGAUAACGUCCGGAAACGGGCGCUAAUACCGCAUACGUCCUGAGGGAGAAAGUGGGGGAUCUUCGGACCUCACGCUAUCAGAUGAGCCUAGGUCGGAUUAGCUAGUUGGUGGGGUAAAGGCCUACCAAGGCGACGAUCCGUAACUGGUCUGAGAGGAUGAUCAGUCACACUGGAACUGAGACACGGUCCAGACUCCUACGGGAGGCAGCAGUGGGGAAUAUUGGACAAUGGGCGAAAGCCUGAUCCAGCCAUGCCGCGUGUGUGAAGAAGGUCUUCUGAUUGUAAAGCACUUUAAGUUGGGAGGAAGGGCAGUAAGUUAAUACCUUGCUGUUUUGACGUUACCAACAGAAUAAGCACCGGCUAACUUCGUG